rnacentral:rRNA from 1 species
UAGGCUUCUGACUGCUUAUUGCACCACAUGUGUUUUUCUUUGAAACAAACUUGCUUUGGCGGUGGGCCCAGCCUGCCGCCAGAGGUCUAAACUUACAACCAAUUUUUUAUCAACUUGUCACACCAGAUUAUUACUAAUAGUCAAAACUUUCAACAACGGAUCUCUUGGUUCUCGCAUCGAUGAAGAACGCAGCGAAAUGCGAUACGUAAUAUGAAUUGCAGAUAUUCGUGAAUCAUCGAAUCUUUGAACGCACAUUGCGCCCUCUGGUAUUCCGGAGGGCAUGCCUGUUUGAGCGUCGUUUCUCCCUCAAACCGCUGGGUUUGGUGUUGAGCAAUACGACUUGGGUUUGCUUGAAAGACGGUAGUGGUAAGGCGGGAUCGCUUUGACAAUGGCUUAGGUCUAACCAAAAACAUUGCUUGCGGCGGUAACGUCCACCACGUAUAUCUUCAAACUUUGACCUCAAAUCAGGUAGGACUACCCGCUGAACUUAAGCAUAUCAAUAAGCGGAGGAA